rnacentral:piRNA from 1 species
UGAGACACUUAGACCACUGUGACAA